rnacentral:rRNA from 1 species
AUGGGUCAGCCAGCUGGGCCUUCUGGCCCAGUUGGCCAAGGGGAGAUGGAUGGGUUCGUUGCCGGGUUGCGUCCCGCCGGCCACUUACACACCUCCACCGCAGGGAUUGGCGGCUCGUUGCUUCUUUGUCGGCGGUGCGGCGGAGGCAGGAUUGGUGACGAUGAUCGCGCCAACAAAGGCCGCGAUGGGGUGGGCGGCUACAGCGGAAGAGGCGGCGGGGUCGGCCAAGGCCUGAACAACAGUGGAGCUGUUCAGUCCAGACGCUAUUCUUUCCUAACAUCAGUAGCUACAAUUGACAACCAAUGA